rnacentral:rRNA from 1 species
GGGGAAUUUUCCGCAAUGGGCGAAAGCCUGACGGAGCAAUCUCGCGUGAGGGAUGACGGCCUAUGGGUUGUAAACCUCUUUUUUCAGGGAGGAAUUAAUGACGUGUACCUGAAGAAUAAGCAUCGGCUAACUCCGUGCCAGCAGCCGCGGUAAGACGGAGGAUGCAAGUGUUAUCCGGAAUCACUGGGCGUAAAGCGUCUGUAGGUGGCCAAAUAAGUCAACUGUUAAAUCUUGAGGCUCAACCUCAAAAUCGCAGUCGAAACUAUUAGACUAGAGUAUAGUAGGGGUAAAGGGAAUUUCCAGUGGAGCGGUGAAAUGCGUAGAGAUUGGAAAGAACACCGAUGGCGAAGGCACUUUACUGGGCUAUUACUGACACUCAGAGACGAAAGCUAGGGUAGCAAAUGGGAUUAGAUACCCCAGUAGUC